UACGAAGGGGGGCAAGCGUUGUCCGGAUUUAUUGGGCGUAAAGAGCGUGUAGGCGGCUUUGCAAGUCCGUUGUGAAAACUCGAGGCUCAACCUCGAGACGCCGGUGGAAACUGCAAAGCUAGAGUCCGGAAGAGGAGAGUGGAAUUCCUGGUGUAGCGGUGAAAUGCGCAGAUAUCAGGAAGAACACCCGUGGCGAAGGCGGCUCUCUGGGACGGUACUGACGCUGAGACGCGAAAGCGUGGGGAGCGAACAGG
rnacentral:rRNA from 1 species